GAAGCCGGAAUCGCUAGUAAUCGCAGAUCAGAAUGCUGCGGUGAAUACGUUCCCGGGUCUUGUACACACCGCCCGUCACACCAUGGGAGGUCGGAAAUGCCCGAAGUCAGUGGCCCAACCGGAAGGGAGGGAGCUGCCGAAGGCAGGUCCGGUGACUGGGGUGAAGUCGUAACAAGGUACC
rnacentral:rRNA from 1 species